CCCGGCCGCCAGGGUUUCUAGGAAGAUAGGAAGGGUUUGAGAUCCUCUGUGGUCGAAUGGGAGCGUUGGCUGUCACUCACGGUGUUUACACGCUGGUAACACAAUCCCCUGAAACCUCAAGCUUGCGCCAGUCCGGGGAGGGCCUUAGCCACAGGUGAAAUUCUCUGAACUCCGCCGCUUCUGCCCCCACCCCACCGCCCCAGGCUGGACCAAGUGAAUUGGACUCGGUCUGCUUUAUUAAUGGCAUGGGCCCUAAAGGAAUGAGCUGGGUUUGAUUUCUCUUCCCAAGUACAAGAAUGCCCCUGAGGAAUUUCUCACUCUGUGAAAGCGCAAAACUAAUUUCCCCAGACAGGCGCUGUUGCCGGUUCCCAAAAGGGCUUGGAAAGAUCCCAGCAGGAAUGCUCAGUGGUUCCAAAUCUCUUCACCCGAGCCGCUGGAUAUGCAGACACUGACCACCAAGAACUUCUUGGUAGGUGGACACACGUCCUUCCCAGACAGGCCUUCUUUUUAGAGUAUCUCAGGCCCCCAUGUUAUGGAGAUUUUGGAAUCAGCCAGAGAAUGCACAACCACGAACUCAUACAGACACAGCACAAAUGUAACAGUUCUCUAGAUUCAAGUGGCUCUGCAACUCAGUUUGACAGGGUCCAUUGGGUGCCAAGCACGAUGACAGAAAAAGACCCCACUGAGGCAUAUCGCUGUGAAAUUUUAGAACCCUAGAGAUGAAGAAAAAAAAUCCUAAAAACUUCCCAAGACACAAGAACUGAGCUGCUGACCACAAGAAAAUACUGCAUACAAAAGAGGGCUUACUGGAGUUGACUAGAGCUUAGCCACCCUCUACUUUCGAGUGUUUUGGUUGUCUUGAGCCCUACCCCCACCAGUUACCUAAUGAAGACAUUGCCUUGUGGAGGACCAUCAUCUCUUCUGAGAUUUUAGGGGAUUUUGAUAUUUGCCUGAUGUCUAGUAUGCGCUUGUCAUCGUACGAAGUCAUUGUCUUACGGCGUCUUGCAGAGGCCGCGUACUGAUUCUUCUCUUGUCUUCAUGUUGCACAACCAAUCCGUUGGCGAUUCUCUUGGCUCUUCUGGGGCGUGCCUGGGUGGCUCAGUCGAUCGAGCAAUUGAGCAUCAGACUUCAGCUGGGGUUAUGAUC